rnacentral:lncRNA from 1 species
UUUGGGGGAAUCCUGCAGUUAUGAAAACCAGGGAUCAACUGGCUGACGCGCCAAGUCCGGUCCUUGGAAAGCAAGCCCCGUAGCUCCAAUUACUCCCCUUGGCCUCUCGAACCCUCCCUCGGAAGGCCGCCCCCGACCCGCACACAAUACUGUCUCUGUCCGCCUCUGCUUCCUCGUCCUCUGGAUCUGGGGUCCCUGUCCCGCAGCCCGCCUGCCCGGGACCUCCCCGCGCGCCCCAGCCCGUUUCCAUGGCAACGCCGCGCGGCCCCGCACCUCGAGCACCUUCCCGCGGCACCCGCGGGGUCCUCACCGCUCGGGUAGGGCUGGCCGAGGCGGCGCCCGCGGCCUCUACGGCCCCGUAGCUGCCCUUGGGCUCCUGCCCGGGUCUCCCCCAGAGCGGCGCGCUAGCGGCGGCCCGGAGAGGACCUGACGACCGACCUCCACGGGGUUGGCCGCCGCGCUGCCUGAUCGCAGCGGCUGCGGCCGCACCACGCGGGACGCCGCACUCGGUUUAGUGGAGUGCUCCCGACGAGCCUUGUCCAGCCGGGAGGCCGGCCCGGCUCCGGAGAGCCCGCAAGGCUCGGCUAGCCGCCCCCCGGCCGGGCGCCCUCCCGGCGAUCUGCAGCGCGGCCCAGGACACGUCAGUCUUACCACUUCCGCCUCGCCCGCGGGGGCCUCAGGCCAGCAGAAAGCUCCUUUCCCGGAGCCGAGAGGGGACCACGCCUCCGGCGCCGCUCCGCCGACGGUUGCUCGGGCAGGGGCUAGGCCUGAGGCUGCCUCCGGACCGCACGCCCGUACCCGGGAAGACUUGGGGCACCGGCGGAAGCCGGGGAGCGGUGCCCGCCGCACGCAUCCAGUGACUGUCCAGGAGACGGAGCCCGGGUGGCGGCUGGUGGACGCCCCGGAGCAUCUGCCGGCUGAGCCAAUGGGGCUCGCCACCAACUGCAGAGGGCGAGCUCUGAGAGGCGGUCCAUGGCCCCCGACCCGGGCGGGGGCUCUGACUUUGGCCAAUUUGACCAAAAUUGGACCAUGA